rnacentral:rRNA from 1 species
UACGAAGGGGGCUAGCGUUGCUCGGAAUUACUGGGCGUAAAGCGCACGUAGGCGGCUUUCUAAGUGGGGGGUGAAAUCCUGGAGCUCAACUCCAGAACUGCCUUCGAUACUGGAGAGCUCGAGUCCGGGAGAGGUGAGUGGAACUGCGAGUGUAGAGGUGAAAUUCGUAGAUAUUCGCAAGAACACCAGUGGCGAAGGCGGCUCACUGGCCCGGUACUGACGCUGAGGUGCGAAAGCGUGGGGAGCAAACAGG